AGCAGCAGCAGCAGCAGCAGCAAGUCAAGCAUUUGGAGGAGGAAGCGGAGCAGAAAACGGAAGAGGAGAAGAAGGUGGAGCAGGAAUAAAAAUAGGUAGACGAGAAGGAGCAGCAGGAGGAGCAGAAGAAAGAAGAGGAGAAGGUGAAGGAAGAGAAGGAGGAGCAGGAUCAGAAGUAAGAGCAGAAGGAGUAAGAGCAGGAAUAAAAGCAAAAGGAGGAGCAGGAGUAGAUAAAGGAAAAAGAGAGAAAGGAGCACGAAUAGGACAGGGGAACAGGAGGAGCAGCCUGAGGGCCAUCUGAAGCAUCAUUCCAAGGAGCAGCUCAAGCACCAUUCCAAGCAGCACCUCUAGCAUCAGCAGAAGUCUCUUGAUACUCAUCUCAAGUGUCGACAAACAAAAGCCAACAACAACCAACAACAAAUUCAACAAAGACACAAAAUCAAAGUAGACUUUUACAACAAUAAAUUCAAUUCAACUAACAAAUUUGCUGUGAAUGUUUUUUAAGCAUUGUUAUUGGCAACAGUUAUUGGCAACAGUUAUUGGCAACAGUUAUUGGCAACAGUUAUUGGCAUCAGUUAUUGGCAAGCAACAUAUUUUUUGGCAACAUGUCUGACGUGGAAUUGGAGCAAGUGUCGCCAACGCAGCAACAAUGUCGCACAAAUCCCCGCAAUAGUUCACCAGAUGGCAAACAAAUGGUAAUUGGUCGUCCAUUGAUCCAAUGCUGUCCGUUGAUGGAUGGCGUCGAGGACGAUUGGACGUGGAGUAAACGUCAUCGCUCGAAGGAGGUGGUGCUGAGUGGUACCGAUUUUCGCACCGUACACUUUCAUCCCAAUUGGAGCAAGGGCACCGCCGGCAUCCAGGGCAAGCGUGCUUUGAACAAUGGUCGCUACUAUUGGGAGCUGCAUGUGUCGCAGCGUGUCUUUGGCACCUCCAUCAUGUUUGGCAUCGGCACCAAGUCCUGUCGCCUGCACGCCAACGCCUUCCGCAACAUGCUCGGCGAGAAUCAGCACGGAUGGGGACUCUCCCACAAGGGCGUUCUUUGGCACAAGGGCGUCGCUUUACUGUAUACGAAACGCUUUCGCGAAAAUCAUCCCACACAAAUUGGUGUCCUCUUCGAUGGCAUUGAGGGCACCUUGACCUACUACAAGGAUGGCAAGUGCCUGGGCGUCGCCUUCAGGGGCCUGGAUAAGGUGACUGAGCCGCUUUAUCCCAUUGUCUGCUCGACGGCCGCCAAGACGGAGAUGACACUGAAGUGUGCUCGUCGUGAGUUUGUCAAUCUGCAGGAUCGAUGUCGGGCGGUGAUAAUGCGUAAAUUGCGAACCGCUGGCAAUGUGGAGAAAUUGAAGUUGCCCCUGUCGAUUAGUGAAUAUUUGGGCGAGGUGAUCGAUGAUAUGGAGCCACUGCGUCAGGUAAAUGGGGAUGACAUGUACAUGAUAAACUUAGAUUUAGAAACUUAAGUCGAUGAGCCCGUGAAACUCAGUUUUGUGCCAUAGUUUGCGGGACGCUCUAAUCAUGAUGAUGUUGAAAAGCGAAGAAGGCAAGAAUGAUUUCACCUUCUUCUUUUUUGUUGUUGAAAUUGUAGCAAAAAUGUUUCCGGUAAUAGGCCAAUUAGGUGCAAUAUUUGUGAUAUAAGACAGAGGCAACAUUCUUGUGCAUCUGACGGAUGGCAAAGCAAAAACCAAAAACACAACCUUAAAAGCAUAAAUUCUAAUCUAUUAUUAUACUAUAUAUUAUAUAUAUAUAUAUAUAUAUAUUUUCGUACGAGUGUGAAAAUCUAGUCAAAGAAUUAAACACGCUGCUUCAACUUUGUGGAACCCCCAAAAAUGUGUACAAUAUAAAUGAAUUCGUGGUAGCCUCUUUGUAGUCAGCUAAUAAUAUUUAAUAAAUGUUAUAAAUCUUUAUGUAUAUGAAAAACAUUUGCAGUUACAAACAGUUUCUCAAAAUUCUAGUCGAAAUAUGUAAAAUGUAAUCAUUCCAAUACGAUCUCCAACAAUAGCACUUAAGAGCUUGACGAAGAUCAAUGUAUUCCAAUAUUGUAAAUGGUAAAUAUUUUUAUAUCUUAAGUACUUAUACGAAAACAAAUAUAUGGC